UUCCAUGCUCAAUGUUAUAACAGUUGAUAAUAUUAAAUCUAACAUUGCUUUAUGAUGUAGGCAAGUUUAAAACAUUGUGCCGGCGCAGUCGAUCAAUAAACUCGUAGUUGUAGAAAGUAGAUUGUAUUGCUAGAUGUGCUCAAUAAAAGCUUUACAUGAAUGUGUUUAUAGGCAACUCAAUAUACAGAUGAAUGAAAUAAGCUCUGCCAAAAAAAUACUUUCGCUAAAAUCAAAGCGCGUAUUUUUACUUUUUUUCAAUGGUUGUUAGAAUUAAAUAAAUAUUUUUCUUCAAAUUGGUUUAUUUUUAUCUGCGUUAUACCAAUUUACUUGUUGUUAGGUAUUAAUAAUUGAUUUUUUUGGAGCGUGCUUUAAAAAAUGGGACCUACAUGCAGUUAUCUAAAUAAUUUAGACUAAUAACACAGAUUGUACAAAUACUGUACAAAGCGGGAUACAAAACUCUAAUAAAUAUCUUAAAAAUCAAUAUUGUAAAUUAAAAAUUAAUUAGAUAUUAUCGAAACUAAUAUUAUAUAUCUAUUAUGAACCAAAUUGACGUAGAUAAAUUGUUUAUAUAAAAUAUUUAGUUUUAAAAUAUACUUAUUUUGCUAGGCAAAGUAUUAAUAAAAGUUUGACUAUUAAGCGAGCACUAUUAGAGUCAUGUGCAUUGAAAUUUUGGAAAAGAAAAUAUGAAUAACAUAUAUAUUAAAACUGGUGAAAUUGUUGGCAUAAUUCCGAGUUCUUUUAGUGAUAAACAUCCAAUCCUUCACAGAUGUUUCUACAUUUUCUACAUUUUAUUAAUAUGCGCAAUAUAUUUCUAUUGGGUCAUCGCUUCUCUCAAUGAAUCAAUCAAUUCUCCACCACCGGGACGUGAAUUCUCAAGAAUUAUGCUAGCAAUGACAACGUUUGUUUUAUUUGGAAUUUUCGUAAUCUCCGCAUUACUAAUUAAUCACAUUUUGUAUAUCAAACAAUACAAAAUUAUGAAGAUAACUUUUCGAGAAAUUGAUAAUAUUCUACAGCCAAAACCAAAUAAAUUAUUGAGAAUUAUUACGAAGUAUGUAAUAUUUCAUGCGUUUUAUUUUGCAUAUGAAAUUUAUAGAUACACACGGAUUAUAUCAAACGAUUUUACAAUAAUAUUUUAUUUACUUGGGUUUUGGUUAGACUAUGUUUCGGUCAUUGACAUUGUAGUUGCCUACAACAUAUUAAAUGACGUGCGAAAUCGUUUAAAGUAUUUAAACAGAAUAAUUACCAGCAUGAUUGUAAAUUCAGCGAUCAACAAAACAAAUCAGCGCUUGAGAAACGAGCGUAAAGUUUAUGACUUGAUUGAAGUACAUACGAAAAUUAUAAAAAUCAUUCACAUCUUCAAUAGACUCUAUGGCACGCGUAUUUUAAUCCUCAACUUUACAUAUGUCAUCGACUUUUUAUCGGUGGUAUCACGUGUGGUUUCGAAGGAACCACAUGAUAUUUACGCUAUUAUUUUUGAUUUCUUUUAUGCUGCAUUUAGUAUGGUGCUUUGGAUUGGAUUUGUGUUUAUCUCACAAGCGAUAAUAAAUCAAGGAAAAAUGAUGGUGGCUAAUUGCAUGCAAGCAAUCACUGCGUCGUUAAGUGUGUUUAGUUAUUCGUCGGAAGAAUGGAAGAUGCUUAUGAGUCAUUUUACACAGUGUGUUAUUUUGCAAAGACCCGAGUUUACAGCCGCUAACUUUUACGAUGUUAAUUUUGGUGCAAUUUUUACGAUUUUUAAUAUGAUGACUGGGUAUAUUGUGGUUGUUGUGCAGUUUUCUAAAGAUAGUUGCAGUUAAAUUCUUGUUUUAUCUAAAGUUGACGUAAAACAUAAAAUUAAAAUGUUUUUCUACUUUCACUUUUAAAUCGCCACUUUUUUCUGCGGUUUUAAAACGUAAAAAGUGGUAUGGACGACCAAAGACGUGACUAAAGUACUUUAUCAAUCUAGGGACAAAAACUCACGUUUAGCCAUUUGAUACUUAAUAUUUUAUUAUUAAAUAUUCAAUUAAAUCAAACUUUAUACUAUUAUUAUGCUAUUGAAAUCCGAAUAUGACACUUUAUCAGCUUUCAUUAUAAUAUUUUAAUUAUAUAUAAUUUGUAUGUCGUUCCAGUUAAUUUUUAAUAUAAAUAUAGUGAAAAUUCAAACAAA